UAAAACGUAGGACACGAGCGUUAUCCGGAGUUACUGGGCGUAAAGGGCGUGCAGGCGGUUUUGUAAGUUUGAUGUGAAAGCGCCCGGCUUAACCGGGCGAGGACAUUGGAGACUGCAAGACUAGAGGCAGAUAGAGGGGUGUAGAAUUCCGGGUGUAGUGGUGAAAUGCGUAGAGAUCCGGAGGAAUACCAGAGGCGAAGGCGGCACCCUGGGUCUGACCUGACGCUGAGACGCGACAGCAUGGGGAGCGAACGGGAUUAGAAACCCCGGUAGUCCAUGCCGUAAACGAUGUGUACUAGGUGUUCACUCUCGCAAGAGAGGGAGCGCCUCAGCUAACGCGCUAAGUACACCGCCUGGGGAGUACGGUCGCAAGGCUA
rnacentral:rRNA from 1 species